rnacentral:ribozyme from 14 species
UGUUUGUCUCUUAACAUUUUUUUUUUUUUUUUUUUUUUUUUGUUAUUGUUUUUUGUUUUGUUUUUAUGACCCGAUAUGCCAUACGAGGAGGAGG